rnacentral:lncRNA from 1 species
AGCUAGGCCACUAUCUUACAUACAGCUGGCCACGAUCUCAUAUAUAGUUAGUAUUGAAACCUGGUACCACUUUGAUACCAUAUUGAAGGACCACCUUUCUCCAUGUGGACCUAAGGAGACCAACAAUGGAUCCCUCUCUACAAAUGUCCAUGGUGAUCCGAACUCUUUAGGGACAGCAAACAUCAAGCUUUAGAUCCAAACUUAAUUCUAGAUACCACACGCCCCCUUCUAGGGAAGAGGUUGUGUGUGAUGCCGUGGGUGGUAUGCAAAACCAAAGAGAGAGGGAGAG